UACGUAGGGUGCAAGCGUUAAUCGGAAUUACUGGGCGUAAAGCGUGCGCAGGCGGCUUUGCAAGACAGAUGUGAAAUCCCCGGGCUUAACCCUGGGAACUGCAUUUGUGACUGCAUGGCUGGAGUGCGGCAGAGGGGGAUGGAAUUCCGCGUGUAGCAGUGAAAUGCGUAGAUAUGCGGAGGAACACCGAUGGCGAAGGCAAUCCCCUGGGCCUGCACUGACGCUCAUGCACGAAAGCGUGGGGAGCAACAGG
rnacentral:rRNA from 1 species